CCCUUAGAUGUUCUGGGCUGCACGCGCGCUACACUGAUGCGUUCAACGAGUUUAUGACCUUGCCCGAUAGGGUUGGGUAAUCUUUUUAAAUCGCAUCGUGAUGGGGAUAGAUUAUUGCAAUUAUUAAUCUUCAACGAGGAAUGCCUAGUAAGCGCAAGUCAUCAGCUUGCGUUGAUUACGUCCCUGCCCUUUGUACACACCGCCCGUCGCUCCUACCGAUUGAAUGGUCCGGUGAAGCGCUCGGACCGCGGCCUCUUGACGGUUUUCCGUCGAUUGGCUGUGGGAAGUUCGUUAAACCUUAUCAUUUAGAGGAAGGAGAAGUCGUAACA
rnacentral:rRNA from 1 species